rnacentral:rRNA from 1 species
GACGAACGCUGGCGGCGUGCUUAACACAUGCAAGUCGAACGGAAGGGCCCUGCUUGCAGGGUCCUCGAGUGGCGAACGGGUGAGUAACACGUGGGUGAUCUGCCCUGCACUUCGGGAUAAGCCUGGGAAACUGGGUCUAAUACCGGAUAGGAGCCAUUUUUAGUGUGAUGGUUGGAAAGUUUUUUCGGUGUAGGAUGAGCUCGCGGCCUAUCAGCUUGUUGGUGGGGUAAUGGCCUACCAAGGCGGCGACGGGUAGCCGGCCUGAGAGGGUGGACGGCCACAUUGGGACUGAGAUACGGCCCAGACUCCUACGGGAGGCAGCAGUGGGGAAUAUUGCACAAUGGGCGCAAGCCUGAUGCAGCGACGCCGCGUGGGGGAUGACGGCCUUCGGGUUGUAAACUCCUUUCGCUAGGGACGAAGCUUUUUGUGACGGUACCUAGAUAAGAAGCACCGGCUAACUACGUG